UACGUAGGUGGCAAGCGUUGUCCGGAAUUAUUGGGCGUAAAGCGCGCGCAGGCGGCCUUUUAAGUCUGAUGUGAAAGCCCACGGCUCAACCGUGGAAGGUCAUUGGAAACUGAAAGGCUUGAGUACAGAAGAGGAAAGCGGAAUUCCACGUGUAGCGGUGAAAUGCGUAGAGAUGUGGAGGAACACCAGUGGCGAAGGCGGCUCUCUGGGACGGUACUGACGCUGAGACGCGAAAGCGUGGGGAGCGAACAGG
rnacentral:rRNA from 1 species